CACGUAGGGGACGAGCGUUGUCCGGAUUCAUUGGGCGUAAAGCGCGCGUAGGCGGCUCGGAAAGUCGGGCGUGAAAUGCCGAGGCUCAACCUCGGGUCUGCAGUCGAUGCGAGCAAACUAGAGUGUUGCAGGGGAGACUGGAAUUCCUGGUGUAGCGGUGAAAUGCGCAGAUAUCAGGAGGAACACCGGUGGCGAAGGCGGGUCUCUGGGCAACAACUGACGCUGAGGAGCGAAAGCGUGGGGAGCGAACAGG
rnacentral:rRNA from 1 species